CAGCGCCGCGGUAAUACGGAGGGGGCUAGCGUUGUUCGGAAUUACCGGGCGUAAAGCGCACGUAGGCGGCUUGGUAAGUUAGAGGUGAAAGCCUGGAGCUCAACUCCAGAAUUGCCUUUAAGACUGCCGAGCUAGCAGGUGAGAGAGGUAAGUGGAAUUCCGAGUGUAGAGGUGAAAUUCGUAGAUAUUCGGAAGAACACCAGUGGCGAAGGCGGCUUACUGGCUCAUACUGGACGCUGAGGUGCGAAAGCGUGGGGAGCAAACAGGAUUAGAUACCCGCGUAGUCCCUGUCUCUUAUACA
rnacentral:rRNA from 1 species